CGGGGUUUCACUGCAUUGGCCAGGCUGGUCUCAAACUCCUGUCUUCAGGUGAUCCACCUGCCUUGGCCUCCCAAAGUGCUGGGAUUCAGGUGUGAACCACCAUGCCUGGACAAAUUUCACUGAUAUUUAAUCAAUUUUCAAGUGGUUUUCUUUGCAUCUUAUAUUCACAUCCCUACCAACCUCACACUUUGAUCUUGUUGUUCUUUUAGUUUUGUAAACACUGCAAAGCAGCCAUGUAUACCCUUCAAUGAAGAAGGAUAAGUAAUCACAAAUUAGGAUACUCUUAAAAAACUUGUCUUUGAAGACUUUAUUCUUCAUAAUCAAAUUUUACAUAAAGCCAAUCCCAAUAUCAAUUUAGGGUGAUAAUGUAGGACAGUAACAGCAGCUGAAUUUUGUGUUUUAAAGCAAACCUGCAUUUUGAUUUUUUUCCGAUUAUUUCAUUCUCGAUCACUUUAUUUGCAGAUUCAGAAAAGCCUGAAUUUGCAAAAAGUUUGUUUCGAUCAUCAUAGGCAAGGUGAAAUAGAAAGUCGAAGAAAUCAUCUCGGUCAUUACGAGUCCUCAAGUAGUUGCUUUUUGUACUUUGAAUAAAGACUUUAGUCAUAGUAGGAGAGAUAGACUGUAAUGGACUUACUUCACGAUGGCUGCACCAGAGGUUCCAAGAACGAUGGCUUUCAACUUCAACCCACAUCUAAAACACACCACUGUAGCCACACCCUACACCCUGUGGUUAUCCAGUUGUGAGUCCUAUUGGAGAGAUGAGGUACGUCCACUGGGGAAAACCUAAGGAUGAGAGGUACAGAGGUUAGAUGAAAACAUGAAGAUACUAUCCUCAAGGUUAUUCAGAGAGUCAUAGAGAAAAGAAGAAAGCGAUAGUUAAUAAGGAGACUUAGGUUCCUUAGAAGGAAAUUAACCAGCCAUCAAACUGAUGAUGUUUAGAUUGGAAACACAAAUGGAUGAUGAGUUAACCAACAGAACUAAAUCAGAUCAGGAGUAUAAAACUGAGGAGUGAGGAGGGAAGCCUGACAAGUGAGGAGGUACAAAAUGGCCACCCAUGGGCAUCUAGUUGAUCAUUAUUUCUACAUAAGCUACUGUACAACUCACAGAGUGAGGAUGGAUGCUUACAAAUAACAGACUGGAAUGAGCAACUCAGAAUUGCUGCACCUCUAAAAUCAAAUCACAAUACUCCAUGCUCUGCCUAUAACCUACUAUCCUUUGCUAUUAUUGUGUUUGCUAUUCAUCUGCAUCAAUUCUUUUAAUUCUAUGAAUUUUGUUCCCAUCAAUUGUUCCUAAUCGAUCAGCCCAUUCUGGUUUAACUUUUGUUUUGUUCCCUUCCUGAACACUGGUCUUUCAUUUCAAUCUUUCUUCCUGGGCACCCACAAAUCUCUCAAUCCAUUUUCUUCCUUAUGUCUGUCCUUAAAACAACUUCCCUCCACCUUCAGAUUAAUCUAAUCCUCUGACCUCUACUCUCCUACUCAAACUAUUAAACACAGCUGAAAUGCCUUCUAUUUUAGGCUGUUACUCACAUCUUCCAUCCCAGCAGCUUAUUCAUACCACCAUCUUCCGUCACCAGGAUCACCACCACUAGCCUUAUACACUUGACUAUCACUCAUACCUAUUAGAAUCAAUUCUCUACACAUCAGACAAACUGAGCUUUAUAAAACACAAAUCAGUUUGCAUUACUUCUUUGCUAUAAACAUUCAAAGACUUGUCAUUUCCAUUAGGACUCUGGCCUACACAGGCCCCCAUGAUCUGACCCUGCCUGCCUCUUCCACCUUUGCCAUAACAAUCUCCUCCUCUUUCCUGGCCUUCUUGCCAUUUCUUAAAAAUGACAUGCUUAUUCCUAUUUCAGGCUGUUACACUUGCUCUUGUCUGCCCAGAAUUCCACACACCUUCUCCAUCUUACGCAGGUCAAGCUCAAAUGUCACCUGUUUGUCUCUGUAAAAAAUGGAAUCCCUCCUUCAUUAUUAUCUUUGCCUUUAUUCUGCUUUUUUUUUCCCCUAGUGCUUAUCACUCUCUGAAACUAUGUUAUUUGUUUGCUUAUUUCUUUGCUGUAGCCCACACCAGAUCAGGAACUCCUCAAAAGCAAGACCUUAAAACUAUCUUAUUUGGCUACCAUAUCCAUAACUUAUAAAACAGUACUCAGCAUACAAUAGACACCAGGUAAAUAGUUGUUGGAUCUGUUGAAUUAUCACCAUGAAAGCUAAAAUCCUCUAGGAUAAUGGUGGGAGUCAGGGUGAGAGUGAGGUGUCAAUGUCACCUGAUGAGUUGAAGAAAAGAUAAUUUUACUAUUUGAGAGAAAGGACUGAAAUAUGAUAUGCUAAGGAGUUGUUGCUGAAUUUAAAUUUUUUUAGGGAAUCUAUAUUAAAAUAUGCUGUAUAUUUGAUAUUAGACCUAGAGGUCAGUGUAACCCAUUCACAGGGUUUGCAAGUAUCAUUUGUGUCAUCCUCAGUUUUGCAAAUAAAAUGUUGCACUUUUAAAAGAUAAAUGUAAGUAGCUUAAGCAGAAGUAGUUAGGUAUAUUUUUUCACUUUUUCUUUUUGGUCCAGAUCUGGCAUGGUUCCUAGACAUGUGAAAUUAGUGAUGUGGAAAAAUGUAAAUAUAUAGCUAAUGCAAUAAGCUUCACAAAAAUAUUUUGUUCUAUACAGUGUUCAGCAUUUUAACCAGCUCCAUGGAUUUCAGUAGGAAGUCUCAAAAAUGUAUCAUGCCUUUUCUGUAUUUUAUAGGAAGAAUAUCAUGAAUUUAGCUGGUAUUAGAAAGUAGAACUUGGAAAAUAGAGUGUAACUGGAAAAUGAAGGGACUUAACUGAGACAAACAGCCUCUUCUUAUCCAUUUUUAAAAUGUUCAGAUUUAACUAGAUGACCAUGACCAUGAAGAACUUCUCAAGCUCUUUGGUUCUACAGGUGUAUGACAGUUUCCUGGAGGGGGUCAUAUGGAUCUACUACUACCUUCCCACUGACAUUAGGCAGAUGUUCAUUAGAUUGGUUUGAUAGAUGUAAUGGUUAAUAUUGAGUGUCAACUUGAUUGGAUUGAAGGAUGCAAAGUAUUGUUCCUGGGUGCGUCUGUGAGGGUGUUGCCAAAGGAGAUUAACAUUUGAAUCAUUGGACUGGGAGAGGCAGACCCACCCUCAAUCUGGGUGGGCACAAUCUAAUCAGCUGCCAGCAUGGCCAGCAUAAAAGCAGGCAGAAGAAUGUGGAAGGAGUAGACUGGCUCAGUCUCCUGGCCUACAUCUUUCUCCCACGCUGCAUGCUUCCUGCCCUCGAACAUUGGACUCCAAGUUCUUCAGUUUUGGGACUCUUGAACCUUUGACCACAGACUGAAGGCUACACUGUUGACUUCCCUACUUUUGAGCUUUUAGGACUCGGACUGGCUUCCUUGUUCCUCAGCUUGCAGACGGCCUAUUGUGGGACCUCACUUUGUGAUCAUGUGAGUCAAUACUCCUUAAUAAACUCUCCUUUAAAUAUACAUCUAUCUUGUUAGUUCUGUCCCUCUAGAGAACCUUGACUAAUACGAUAGGGAAGCCAUAGUGACUGUCACUAAUAUUCUAAUAAAAGAAUUAUUAUCUAUGCCAACUCUGGAGAGCCACAGGUAAGCUAUACAUAGAUCAAAGUGUAAACCAGGGGUUCUCUGAGUGUGAUUCCUGGACCAGCAGUAUGUGGUGACAUUUGAAAUGCAAAUUCUUGGGCCCCACCUCAGACCACUGAAUUAGAAACUCCAGAGGUGGAGCUCAGCAGUUUGUUUUAACUAGUUCUCCAGGUGAUGCUGAGGCACAUCACAGUUGGAAAUGGUGAGGUAAGUAAGGAAUUUCAGCAGUUCAACUGCUGAAAUGUAGAUCUUAACAAAGUGCUAAAUGAAUAGAGGAAAAAGGGAUAAUUAUCUGAGACAUUUGGAUCUUGUUUCACGAAUAGGAGUUCAGAUGAAGUUAGGGAGGUCUUUUGAAGUAUAGGAAACAAGACAUGCAAAGACUGGGGAGGUUAGGAAGACCAGACCUAUUUCAAGAUAUACAAUGGCCUAGUGGGGCUUGAGGUAGCAGGGUGCAUUCUUUUUCUUAGAUAUGCUUCCUCCUCUCUGCUCCAUGGUGCCACACAUGAUGCUGGUGAUAAAGGAGACUGAGCGAGGGUAAAGAUUCACAGUGCCAGCAAGGGCUUGGACAUUGGCAGCCUAUGGAUCAAAUUGUGCUUGCAGAUGGGCUGUAUUUGGUAUUUUAUUGUACAAACACUAUGUAUUUGGCAUAGCAUUAUACAAAUAAAUGUGAACUAACAUUUAAUAAUCAGUUUGGAUGUAUAUAUGUGUAUAUAUAUUAUGUAUAAAUAACAUAUAUGCUAACACAAAAAUAUAUGUGCU
rnacentral:lncRNA from 1 species